rnacentral:rRNA from 1 species
GACGAACGCUGGCGGCGUGCUUAACACAUGCAAGUCGAGCGGAGCGGCGAACGGGUGAGUAACGCGUGAGUAACUGCCCCCCUCUCUGGGAUAACAGUUAGAAACGGCUGCUAAUGCCGGAAAGUGGGGGAUGACUCGCGUCCUAUCAGCUUGUUGGUGGCGUGGUGGCCUACCAAGGCGACGACGUGUAGCCGGCCUGAGAGGGCGACCUGCCACAUAGGGCUGGGAUGCGGCCCAAAGUCCUACGGGAGGCAGCAGUGGGGAAUAUUGCGCAAUGGGGGAAGCCCGGGUGCAGCAACGCCGCGUGCGGGAUGACUGCCUUCGGGUUGUAAACCGCUUACGGCCAUGACGCGGUAGUGGCAGAGGAAGCACCGGCUAACUCCGUGCCAGCAGCCGCGGUAAUAC